ensembl:lncRNA
GUACGUGUAUGGGAAUAAGGGGACCCCGGGAAUGAGGAGAACCCGUAGGUCGCGGGGAGACGUCCUGCGCUGGGCAUAGCCGUCGUGCUGCCCCUGGGUAGUGAGCUCACAGAUUCUCCACUGGAGCCAAAGUGGGAAGGACCCUAUCAAGUCCUUCUAACUACGCACAUGGUAGUCAAGGUGAAAGGGUUGGUCCCGUGGAUACAUCAUACCUGUGUGAAGGAAGUGUCUCAACCGCACUGGACCUGGGCAAAUCAAACGGAACAAGACUCCUGCAUUGCAGUCAACAACAGAUCCUUUCCAAACACGCCUCGCUGGGAUUUUCAACGGAGCAUUCUUUUGUGGUGAGAAAAACAUAGGUGCCAGACUCCUUGUCGGCAAGACAACGAGGAAGAGUGUUUACUUCAUCCCAAGGGACCAGAUGGGGAUGCGACCAUCCAGAGGAGAAUACAAUGCGUGCGCCGGAGGGGAGGGACUUGAUUAAUGAAUACGUAGUGGGGUUCAACGUAAUGUAUGAACUUGACUUACAAAUAUGUAACAUUUCUGUGGACCGGUAUGCAAGUUAGGAGGAGCUAUCCCCCUUGCAUCCAGCUUUGCGCAGCGUUGAUUAAAACAUAC